UACGUAGGGCGCAAGCGUUGUCCGGAAUUAUUGGGCGUAAAGAGCUCGUAGGCGGCUUGUCACGUCGGGUGUGAAAGCCCGGGGCUUAACCCCGGGUCUGCAUUCGAUACGGGCAGGCUAGAGUGUGGUAGGGGAGGAUCGGAAUUCCUGGUGUAGCGGUGAAAUGCGCAGAUAUCAGGAGGAACACCGGUGGCGAAGGUGGACCUCUGGGCCAUUACUGACGCUGAGGAGCGAAAGCGUGGGGAGCGAACAGG
rnacentral:rRNA from 1 species